GACGAACGCUGGCGGCGUGCUUAACACAUGCAAGUCGAACGGAAAGGCUCCAGCUUGCUGGAGUACUCGAGUGGCGAACGGGUGAGUAACACGUGGGUAAUCUGCCCUGCACUCUGGGAUAAGCCUGGGAAACUGGGUCUAAUACUGGAUAUGACCUUUCUCCUUAUGGGGUUUGGUGGAAAGUUUUUCGGUGUAGGAUGGGCCCGCGGCCUAUCAGCUUGUUGGUGGGGUGAUGGCCUACCAAGGCGACGACGGGUAGCCGGCCUGGGAGGGUGAUCGGGCACAUAGGGACUGGGAUACGGCCCAGACUGCUACGGGAGGCAGCAGUGGGGAAUAUUGCACAAUGGGCGGAAGCCUGAUGCAGCGACGCCGCGUGGGGGAUGACGGCCUUCGGGUUGUAAACCUCGUUCAGCAGGGACGAAGCGUAAGUAACGGUACCUGCAGAAGAAGCACCGGCUAACUAUGUG
rnacentral:rRNA from 1 species